GUCAGGAUGGCCGAGUGGUCUAAGGCGCCAGACUCAAGGUCAUUUCCUUUCCUUCAACCUGGGGAUUUCUGGUCUCCGAAUGGAGGCGUGGGUUCAAAUCCCACUUCUGACA
rnacentral:tRNA from 1 species